rnacentral:rRNA from 1 species
GAUGAACGCUGGCGGCGUGCCUAAUACAUGCAAGUCGAGCGAACGGACGAGAAGCUUGCUUCUCUGAUGUUAGCGGCGGACGGGUGAGUAACACGUGGAUAACCUACCUAUAAGACUGGGAUAACUUCGGGAAACCGGAGCUAAUACCGUAUGAUAUUUUGAACCGCAUGGUUCAAAAGUGAAAGACGGUCUUGCUGUCACUUAUAGAUGGAUCCGCGCUGCAUUAGCUAGUUGGUAAGGUAACGGCUUACCAAGGCAACGAUGCAUAGCCGACCUGAGAGGGUGAUCGGCCACACUGGAACUGAGACACGGUCCAGACUCCUACGGGAGGCAGCAGUAGGGAAUCUUCCGCAAUGGGCGAAAGCCUGACGGAGCAACGCCGCGUGAGUGAUGAAGGUCUUCGGAUCGUAAAACUCUGUUAUUAGGGAAGAACAUAUGUGUAAGUAACUGUGCACAUCUUGACGGUACCUAAUCAGAAAGCCACGGCUAACUACGUG